rnacentral:lncRNA from 1 species
UUGGCAAACAAUGCCUUUGGGAAAUGUUUGGGAAAGACCAGGAUUGGAAUCCUCUGUCUUAAGAGAAGUUUAUUGAGUUUAAUAAAUGUUUUUCUUGAUCUAGUGGUGAGAACUCCAUUGAGAGCAAAAAGAUUUAGAAAGUCCCUAUGGGGUGGCAUUUCUGCUGAUUUAAAUUAUUUUCACUUUGCAUUAAAACGUUAUUAUUUUUAUUAUUAUUAUUAUUAUUAUUAUUAUUAUUAUUAUUAUUUGUUAAACAAUAGUUUUUUUAGUUUUUUUUUCAACUUUUAUUUCAAGGGCAAACCCAGGAACAUGAUUGGACUUCUGCUUUUUCAAUUGCUUUUACAAGGUGUUCUGAUUUAUGAUGCUUUGGGAUGGGAAGUGACAAUGCCAAAGGAAAUUCACGGUCUCAGAGGUUCCCGUCUGGUCAUACCAUGUUCUUUCAGCUACACAUCAGACCCGCCCAAAGACCCAAGUAGAGUUGUGUGGUAUCAGUGGGUCUCUAAAGGUUAUCCUUUAGUUUACGAUCCUUUUUAUGUAAACAAUGUAAUUGAUAAAUUCAAUGGUAAAACUGAUUUAUAGAGAGAAUCAGGUGAAUGCAGUCUGCUGAUUACCACACUGGAACAGUCCCACCAUGGAGAGAAAAUAUAUGCAUGGAUUGACCCUAAAAAUGUUGGAUGGCGCACCUACGCAUUUUAUGAUGUCACGUCUACAAUUUUUGUCGAUAGUAAGUAAAUACUGUUGUAAUAAUAUUCCUGUAAUAUGUGAUAGUCCAAAUGUAUUGAAUAAAAGGGUGCAGACAAAAUUAUCUCUCAGAAAUUGCUAGUAAAUUUCACAAGCAAUUACAAAGAAAUGGCAAGUCAAAUAUUGAAAGCAUUUUGAAGUAGAAAAACUAAAAUUGUUUUUCAUUUUAAAAGCAUACUCCAAUUAUCUUUGUCUUAUUUAAACAAAAAAAGUGUAAUAUUUUGUAGCCAUAUUGACUUUAUUUGGACAAUGUUUUUAAAUAACCUCAAAAAAAAGGCAAUGCAAUAGAUCCUGAUAAACCACAUUUUAAUAAUUAUUUCUUUUUUUGUCUUUAUCUAAAAACAAUGGCGAGCACUGGCAAAUUGGAGUUUGAUAUCCACUGCAAUAUCUUGCUCAGUGUAAAGCUACAGCUAGUCAGUUUUUUUCUUUCCAUACUGUCAUUUUUGCUGUUUGCUGAAACAGGUGCUGGUCAUAUAAUUACAAUAUCAUUAAAAAGUUGAUUUAUUUCACUAAUUCCAUUCAAAAAGUGAAUCUUGUAUAUUAUAUUCAUUCAUUACACACAGGUAUAUUUCAAAUGUUUAUUCUUUUAAUUUUGAUGAUUAUAACUGACAACUAAAGAAAAUCCCAAAUUCAGUAUCUCAGAAAAUUUGAAUAUUGUGAAAAGGUUCAAUAUUGAAGACACCUGGUGCCACACUCAACCUCAGCAUUGUUGAAAAGUAUUAAAGCUCAGACACGUUUAUGUAAUGUUUAUGUAUUUCUAAAUUUCUUAAAUGACUAUAAUCAUGACUAAUAAUUGUUAUUGUAUUUUUUUAGCAAAAUAAUUGGAAAUAUUGAUUUAACCAUUAUUGUUCAGCCCUUGCUUAUUUUACCAUGACAUGACAUGAGAGGAACUGACUUCAAAAAAUUACGCCAUGACCAGUUAGUUGAAACAAUUUAAAAAGUGGCUCAACAAAGGGAAGAAAAUUUUGGAAAAGGACACUUUUUUAUCUAAUGCCAUUCAGACAUUUUCCAAACACGUUUUGGAGCCACUGUAUGAUAUUAUGUAACAAUUUUAAUGUUUUUGUGAAUUAUAGAAAAGUCACAGGAGCCCAGCAUCAGUAUUUAUGGAGGUGAAAAGAUGGGUGACGCCAUCACGGUAGAAUGUUCAACUUUCCACACGUGUCCAUACAGAAAACCAGCAAUCACUCUGAGCGGUGUAGAAGGAACUGAUCAAACAAAGGAUGAACAUAUUAAAAACGGCCUGUGGAAAAGAACUCUGACACGCACAGGUGUCUUAAAGGCAGAAAGCGUGACUAUUCAUUGUUCAGUAACACAUUAUGGUGGCAUAACAGUGACAACUGAAGAAGUCAAAAUGUCAAAAUGUGAGUAAACUAAUAUGAAAUGCUUUGUGUUAUGUUAGUUAUAAGUUCACCUUAAACAGUUGGACCUAUUACAAGUUUUCAGUUCAAUUUCAGGUGUUCAUUAUAAAAUAAUGAUUGAGCCUGAAAUGGCAGAUGUCACAGAGGGCAUCACAAAGAACUUAAUUUGUAACGAGAAUCCAACCAUCACAUGGAACUAUGAGAACAUGCAGGUCAAAACGGGGAACAAAACACUUUUAGGUUUAGAUCGGAUCACCUACUUUAACAUAACUUUUCUGGGUGCAAAAGAAGACCAUGGGAAGAAGUUGAAAUAUAUUGCAUAUUUUACUGGAGGAAACAUUACUAUAUCUGUUGUUUUACAUGUACAACGUCAGUAAUGUUUUAGCUUCAUGUAUGAUAUGUGCAGAGGCAACCUUUCCAAUUCAGAGGCGGCACUUUCUAUCUAUCUUUUUAAACAGAACUAUUUUAACAAUCAUGGACAAAAACAGUGUUCCUCUCUUAGCCCCUCAGCUCUUAGACAGUGUGAUGACCUGUCCUUGAGAGCAAUGAAAUAAAAAAUAGAGAACAAUGAUUAGAUUUUUUUUUUUUUUUUUUUGAGCACAGGUGGACUCCCAUACUGAUGUAAGGCCCAUUUUAAGUGAAAUGGCUGAGAAAUAGCAAAGGCCCCUGGAUCGCUCAACACGUUCUAAACUGCCAUCAGGCAGUGAAGCCACCAGAAGUCACAGCUAAAACAAUGACCUCAAAUCACCAGAUGUGAAGCAAAUCAGUCAAAGGGGAUUAGUUUUUAUGUUAUGUGAAUGUGAAUUAAUGUUUACUUCAGAUGUUAUGUGCAGUGUUCACGGUCUUUUGGGGCAAGAUAAGCGAUAUAUUUAAACCGUUUAGGUGGAUGUCUGCAGCGCAAUGACGACACAUGUAACAAUCCUACACAAAAUAGCUUAUUUCUUUAUGAACAUGAUUAUUCAGGAAUUAUUAAACAUGAACAUUUUAGUAUCAGUAAUGAAUUUUAAUUAAUAUAUUACAAUAUAUAAUACAAUCAAUCAAUUUUUUUUUCCUUUUCCUUUUUUGCAGGCACCAAUCCGACAGAACAUGUGCAAAUAUAACAGCAGAAUACAAGUGAAUACUAUUUUUUUCUUAAUAGUAAGAAUACAUUAGAAUUCCAUUACAUAUUUCUAAAAAAAAAAAAAAAAAAAAAAACUUGAUAAGUAACAUUAAUAUUUAAAUAUACAAGUGAACAUUGAUUCAGUUAUUGACUGUGACAGGCCAUCAUUUUGAUAUCGGCUGAUGUAAUGAGACAGAGACGUUCGGAUCCAUAUGCAGAACUUUAAUUAUGAGAAUGGUCAAACAGGCAAUGAUCAGUAACGGCAUCAGGUACGUUAGGGAUAACCAGAAUCGAUAACAGAAACAAGCAGAUGUCGGGGCAGGCAGCAGAGAAUCAGAGUAGGUAUAAACAAUCCAAAGGUCAGGUACAGAAGGAACAAACACAAGGAAAAAUGCUCUGAAAUGUCAGACUGGCUAAACAAGACUUCACAAUGUGGCUGUGUAGGAGUGCUGCUUAUAUGUGUGUAAAUGAGGUGCAGGUGUGGCAAUGAAGUUGGCUGCUGAAUGAGGUGCAGGUGUGGCAAGGUGAUUAUGAUGCAGAGACUCAUGGGAGAUGUAGUUCGGGUGCUAGUGUCCAAGUGAUGAUAUGGUGACAUCUGGUGGUUGAUGGGUGGAAUGGUACUGAGUGGAGUGCCUUCUACUAAAGUUUGUGGGCACUCCAGCUAAUGAUCGUGACAGCUGACACAUUUGACAAAUGUUUUUGCAUACUGAAGUAAAAUUCACAGUUUCACUCAUUCUUUCUUCUACACACCACUCAUCGAUAAACCUUCUCUCUUUACAGGUCAAACAAUAUUUGCAUUGUGUCAGGAAACAUGCCUUUAUCCAAGCGUUUUAUGGUGCCAACCAAAGAGGUACAGAAUAUUUGAACCACAAAUGUCUAAAUUAAUUAAACAAUGUUGUAUACAGCAAAAUAAUAAUAUUCAGUAAACAGAAUGAUAAACAAAAUACAAAUUAUGAUGCUACUUCAAGAUUCCUUUUUCUUUAGUGUGUUAUGUAGCUAAUUGGGCAUGUAUAAGAUCUGCAAAGUUAUAAAGCUCAGUCUCUUCGGCUGACUGAAAUCUGCCGAAAAUGCCGUUAAUGGAUUCUCCCUUAAAUCUCUAUUUGAAAAUAUUUACACAAUUUUGACCAAACUUAAACGCAAAGAAACAUUAAAACAUAAAUAUAUUUUAUUACACCAAAUACACAAAACAAUGAUCUUUGAAAAUAGAAUCAUAUGACCCCUUUAACUUAACAGCUGCCAUGAUAAAUGCAGAUAUACUGUAAAUGUGAUUUUAGGGUUAAUCAUACUCAGUGAGUGCAUUAUUAUUUUUACAAUCAUUUCAUUAAAAUGUGGAAAACAUUCAAUAUUCUGGAAUAAGUUGUUGUCUGACCUCUGUGUUAUUUUUUUACAUUAAGGUUGAUUAUGAGGCUGUUUACAACAACAUGGGCAAGCGCAGCAUGUAUUAAAAUGUUUAAAAAAUAAAAUUGUUUUUUUCCACCAUGCACCUCAGCAAAGCAAAAUCCUACUUAGUAAGUGUUUUAUUUAUUUCUAGCAUUACUUUAUUAAACUGUGGAAAACAUAGGCCUAUUUAGAUGUUGUGGUUUAAAAUGCUAAUAAGUUAUUGACACCUCUGAGUCCCUAUUUUUUCUUGAUAUAUAACAUUAAGUAUUAUCAUUAUGAGGCUGAUUAUGCCCACAUGGAUG